UACGUAGGGGGCAAGCGUUGUCCGGAAUUAUUGGGCGUAAAGGGCACGCAGGCGGUCUUCUAAGUCUGAUGUGAAAUCCCACGGCUUAACCGUGGUAGGUCAUUGGAAACUGGAGGACUUGAGUGCAGAAGAGGAGAGUGGAAUUCCACGUGGAGCGGUGAAAUGCGUAGAUAUGUGGAGGAACACCAGUGGCGAAGGCGACUCUCUGGUCUGUAACUGACGCUGAGGUGCGAAAGCGUGGGUAGCGAACA
rnacentral:rRNA from 1 species